rnacentral:rRNA from 1 species
GACGAACGCUGGCGGCGUGCCUAAUACAUGCAAGUCGAGCGGACCAAUAGAAGCUUGCUUCUAUUGGUUAGCGGCGGACGGGUGAGUAACACGUGGGCAACCUGCCUGUAAGACUGGGAUAACUUCGGGAAACCGGAGCUAAUACCGGAUAAUUCAUCCCCUCGCAUGAGGGGGUGCUGAAAGUCGGUUCACGCUGACACUUACAGAUGGGCCUGCGGCGCAUUAGCUAGUUGGUGAGGUAAUGGCUCACCAAGGCGACGAUGCGUAGCCGACCUGAGAGGGUGAUCGGCCACACUGGGACUGAGACACGGCCCAGACUCCUACGGGAGGCAGCAGUAGGGAAUCUUCCACAAUGGACGAAAGUCUGAUGGAGCAACGCCGCGUGAGCGAUGAAGGCCUUCGGGUCGUAAAGCUCUGUUGUUAGGGAAGAACAAGUACCGGAGUAACUGCCGGUACCUUGACGGUACCUAACCAGAAAGCCACGGCUAACUACGUGCCAGCAGCCGCGGUAA